GAAAUGCGCUAAGUAAUGUGAAUUGCAGAAUUCAGUGAAUCAUCGAAUCUUUGAACGCACAUUGCGCCCGCCAGUAUUCUGGCGGGCAUGCCUGUUCGAGCGUCAUUUCAACCAUCAAGCCCCCGGCUUGUGUUGGGGACCUGCGGCUGCCCGCAGGCCCUGAAAAACAGUGGCGGGCUCGCUGUCACACCGAGCGUAGUAGCAUACAUUCUCGCUCAGGGCGUGCUGCGGGUUCCGGCCGUUAAACGACCUUCAUAACCCAAGGUUGACCUCGGAUCAGGUAGGAAGACCCGCUGAACUUAAGC
rnacentral:misc_RNA from 1 species